rnacentral:rRNA from 1 species
AUUGAACGCUGGCGGCAGGCCUAACACAUGCAAGUCGAACGAGUGGCGGACGGGUGAGUAAUGUCUGGGAAACUGCCUGAUGGAGGGGGAUAACUACUGGAAACGGUAGCUAAUAACGCAUACCAUCAGAUAUGGCCAGGUGGGAUUAGCUUGUUGGUGGGGUAACGGCUCACAAAGGUGACGAUCCCUAGCUGUUCUGAGAGGCUGACCGGCCAAACUGGAACGGAGAAACGGUCCAGACUCCGACGGGAGGCAGAAGUGGGGAAUAUUGCACAAGGGGCGCAAGCCUGAUGCAGCCAUGCCGCGUGUAUGAAGAAGGCCUUCGGGUUGUAAAGUACUUUCAGCGGGGAGGCGUUACCCGCAGAAGAAGCACCGGCUAACUCCGUGCCAGCAGCCGCGGUAAUAC